rnacentral:rRNA from 1 species
GUCCGCCUACGGGGGGCAGCAGUGAGGAAUAUUGGUCAAUGGGCGAGAGCCUGAACCAGCCAAGUCGCGUGAAGGAUGACGGCCCUACGGGUUGUAACCUUCUUUUGUCAGGGAGCAACGCCGGCUACGUGUAGCCGGACUGAGAGUACCUGAAGAAAAAGCAUCGGCUAACUCCGUGCCAGCAGCCGCGGUAAUACGGAGGAUGCGAGCGUUAUCCGGAUUUAUUGGGUUUAAAGGGUGCGUAGGCGGAAUGCCAAGUCAGCGGUAAAAUCGCGGGGCUCAACCUCGCUCCGCCGUUGAAACUG